rnacentral:rRNA from 1 species
UACGAAGGGGGCUAGCGUUGCUCGGAAUCACUGGGCGUAAAGCGCACGUAGGCGGACUUUUAAGUCGGAGGUGAAAUCCUGGAGCUCAACUCCAGAACUGCCUUCGAUACUGAGAGUCUUCGAGUUCGGGAGAGGUGAGUGGAACUGCGAGUGUAGAGGUGAAAUUCGUAGAUAUUCGCAAGAACACCAGUGGCGAAGGCGGCUCACUGGCCCGAUACUGACGCUGAGGAGCGAAAGCGUGGGUAGCGAACAGG